rnacentral:rRNA from 1 species
UGGGGAAUAUUGGACAAUGGGCGAAAGCCUGAUCCAGCCAUGCCGCGUGUGUGAAGAAGGUCUUCGGAUUGUAAAGCACUUUACGUUGGGAGGAAGGGCAGUAAGCGAAUACCUUGCUGUUUUGACGUUACCGACAGAAUAAGCACCGGCUAACUCUGUGCCAGCAGCCGCGGUAAUACAGAGGGUGCAAGCGUUAAUCGGAAUUACUGGGCGUAAAGCGCGCGUAGGUGGUUCGUUAAGUUGAAUGUGAAAGCCCCGGGCUCAACCUGGGAACUGCAUCCAAAACUGGCGAGAUAGAGUAGGGCAGAGGGUGGUGGAAUUUCCUGUGUAGCGGUGAAAUGCGUAGAUAUAGGAAGGAACACCAGUGGCGAAGGCGACCACCUGGGCUCAUACUGACACUGAGGUGCGAAAGCGUGGGGAGCAAACAGG